rnacentral:rRNA from 1 species
GCUCCAAUAGCGUAUAUUAAAGUUGUUGCGGUUAAAAAGCUCGUAGUUGGAGUUCUGCCAGGUGCCGCCUGUCCGCCCCAGUGGUGAGUACGUGGCGCGCAUUUGGCCUUUCAAGGGGAGCGUAUUGCACUUAACUGUGUGGUGCGGGAUCCUUGACUUUUACUUUGAGGAAAUAAGAGUGUUCCAAGCAGGCUCUCGUC